rnacentral:rRNA from 1 species
CCUACGGGAGGCAGCAGUGAGGAAUAUUGGUCAAUGGACGAGAGUCUGAACCAGCCAAGUCGCGUGAAGGAUGACUGCCCUAUGGGUUGUAAACUUCUUUUAUAUGGGAAUAAAACAGGGUAUGCAUACCCUCUUGUAUGUACCUUAUGAAUAAGGAUCGGCUAACUACGUGCCAGCAGCCGCGGUCAUACGUAGGAUCCGAGCAUUAUCCGGAGUGACUGGGUGUAAAGAGUUGCGUAGGUGGGAUAAUAAGGAGCUAGUGGAAACUUGUGGCUCAACCAUUCAGGCUAUUAGCUAAACUGGUAAGCUCGAGAGCGUUAGAGGUAACUGGAAUUUCUGGUGUAGGGGUGAAAUGCGUAGAUAUUAGGAGGAACACCAAUAGCGAAGGCAGGUUGCUGGAACGGUACUGACGCUAAGGCACGAAAGCGUGGGGAGCAAACAGGAUUAGAUACCCUUGUAGUC